rnacentral:rRNA from 1 species
UACGUAGGGUGCAAGCGUUGUUCGGAAUCAUUGGGCGUAAAGCGCGUGUAGGCGGUUAGGUAAGUCGAUUGUGAAAUCCCUGGGCUCAACCGAGGAAGUGCAGUCGAAACUGCUUAGCUGGAGGACGGUAGAGGAAGGUGGAAUUCCUAGUGUAGAGGUGAAAUUCGUAGAUAUUAGGAGGAAUACCGGUGGCGAAGGCGGCCUUCUGGGCCGUUCCUGACGCUGAGACGCGAAAGCGUGGGGAGCAAACAGG